GCCCUCGUCGAUUAAUGGAAAAUCACCCACCGAUUGUGUUUUGUCGUCGUCAUAUUACGAGUCAUGUGGGAGCCGGGGGUUCGAAUCCUCCCUGGGGCA